CGCUUAGGAGGCUCACCGUUUAUGUCUGUUCGAGCAGACGAACAGCAGGAAGGUUGUUGUUGUUUGCGACUACCCAGAAAGAAAAACUUGAUAAUCUAAUAGGAACGUCCGAUUACGGGGGGAAGUCGCAUUAUUGCCAACUGCAAACUUACGUGCAGCUGCUAGAAUGAAAUCCAAAGGUUUAGCCUGCCUAUUUUAAAGCCAUAAUUUAGUGAAUCGCUUUUGUAGACGGAUUGUUAUUAUACAUGCUUUAGCCUGGCCGGCAAUGUUCUAGUAAUAAUGCUCGUUGCUCUUCUCGCACUGCAGCGAGCAGAGCAAUUUUUCUUAAGUCCUGAACGGAAUCCCGUUUCAUGCUCCAGGACAACUUCGUACAACAAAGUCUUACAAUAACGCUACGAGGUCCACAAUACAGUAUCCACUGAUAUGGAGGUUUCACUGCUCAUCGUCACUUUGCGUGUAACAGGCCUCUCAAGUCUCCCGGAGAAGACUUGAAUUUUCCAAUACAUUGUCAACGCAAUCUAUGUUGCAUGAAGACGUUCUGCACAUUGUACCAAAGAAAGCAAAGAAGUAUUGAGCUUCGAAUACAUUUGUAAAAUUUAUAAUAUGUUAGAUACACACGGUAUUUACCUAUAUCUCAAUCUAUGUUGUUAAUAGGAUAACUAAUAAAAUUAAAGUUCUCAGUGUCAGCAAAGUAGUUCCGUCCAAUGAGUUACUUUUCGAAACGAAGCACGCAAUUUCUGUGUUGGCAAUUUCUAAUAGUUAUAGUUUUCAAAUAAUCAGUGCCACAUUAAUUUCAAGGUAACAAACUUUAAUUUUUAUAAAAAUUUUCAUAAAAUUAAGUACAAGUAAGCAAUCCGUGUUUCAGCGUUUGUGGUCAUGACUUAA